rnacentral:rRNA from 1 species
GGAUUAGAUACCCUGGUAGUCCACGCCCUAAACGAUGUGUGCUCGCUGUCGGGUUCGAUACAGAACUCGGUGGCUCAGCUAACGCGGUAAGCACACCGCCUGGGGAGUACGGCCGCAAGGUUAAAACUCAAAGGAAUUGACGGGGACCCGCACAAGUGGUGGAGCAUGUCCUUUAAUUCGAAGAUACGCGAAAAACCUUACCUAGCCUUGACAUCCUGGUAGCCGUUCCCCGAAAAGGGAGCUUCAUUUAGUUGGACCAGAGACAGGUGUUGCAUGGCUGUCGUCAGCUCGUGCCG